rnacentral:rRNA from 1 species
GACGAACGCUGGCGGCGUGCUUAACACAUGCAAGUCGAACGGAAAGGCCCUGCUUUUGUGGGGUGCUCGAGUGGCGAACGGGUGAGUAACACGUGAGUAACCUGCCCUUGACUUUGGGAUAACUUCAGGAAACUGGGGCUAAUACCGGAUAGGAGCUCCUGCUGCAUGGUGGGGGUUGGAAAGUUUCGGCGGUUGGGGAUGGACUCGCGGCUUAUCAGCUUGUUGGUGGGGUAGUGGCUUACCAAGGCUUUGACGGGUAGCCGGCCUGAGAGGGUGACCGGCAACAUGGGGACUGAGAUACGGCCCAGACUCCUACGGGAGGCAGCAGUGGGGAAUAUUGCACAAUGGGCGGAAGCCUGAUGCAGCAACGCCGCGUGCGGGAUGACGGCCUUCGGGUUGUAACCCGCUUUCGCCUGUGACGAAGCGUGAGUGACGGUAAUGGGUAAAGAAGCACCGGCUAACUACGUG